AUUGAACGCUGGCUGCAUGCUUAACACAUGCAAGUCGAACGGCAGCGCGGGUAGCUUGCUACCUGGCGGCGAGUGGCGGACGGGUGAGUAACGCGUAGGAAUCUGCCUUAUAGUGGGGGACAACUCGGGGAAACUCGAGCUAAUACCGCAUAAUCUCUACGGAGCAAAGCGGGGGAUCUUCGGACCUCGCGCUAUAAGAUGAGCCUGCGUUGGAUUAGCUUGUUGGUAGGGUAAAGGCCUACCAAGGCGACGAUCCAUAGCUGGUCUGAGAGGACGAUCAGCCACACUGGGACUGAGACACGGCCCAG
rnacentral:rRNA from 1 species